rnacentral:lncRNA from 1 species
GUCCAACUAUACCAGGGGCGAUGAGGCCACACCUAGUAUUCGCUUACUUAACUCAUAUCAUAACAUGUCCAACUACACUAGGGGCGAUUAGGCCUCACCUAGUGUUCGCUUUCAUAACAUAGUGCCAGGGGCGACCUGGUCUUUCUAUCUCAUAUCAUACCAUGGCAUAUCAUAUCAUUUCAUAUCGUACUUAACAUUUGAUUCAUCCAAGAUUCAAGAUUCAUCCACAUCAACAACAUAUAUUAUGCAAUGCAUCAUAUUCGUGAAUACUAGUGCAAUACAACCUAUUACAUAUCAUGGCAUUUUAUG